ACAGCAGUAGCCGCGGGAAAACGUAGGGUGCAAGCGUUAAUCGGAAUUACUGGGCGUAAAGCGUGCGCAGGCGGUUCUAUAAGACAGAUGUGAAAUCCCCGGGCUCAACCUGGGAACUGCAUUUGUGACUGUAGAGCUGGAGUGCGGCAGAGGGGGAUGGAAUUCCGCGUGUAGCAGUGAAAUGCGUAGAUAUGCGGAGGAACACCGAUGGCGAAGGCAAUCCCCUGGGCCUGCACUGACGCUCAUGCACGAAAGCGUGGGGAGCAAACAGGAUUAGAGACCCGCGUAGUCCCUGUCUCUUAUAC
rnacentral:rRNA from 1 species